GGAGAGGUGCCGGAGCCUGGCUUAACGGGCCCGACUCGAAAUCGGGUGUGCGGGUAGCCCCCGCACCGCGGGUUCAAAUCCCGCCCUCUCCGCCA
rnacentral:tRNA from 1 species